rfam:Gossypium raimondii chromosome 6, whole genome shotgun sequence.
UAUUAAAAAUUCCAUCUAUUUUUACUGUUAAAAACUGAUGUUGUUGACAUACCACAUAUACCUAAUGUAAACGUACAAGGAUCAGUUUUUAAUAGUGGAAAUGAAUGGAAGUUUUAACA